CCUCCAUCGUUUCUGCUCCUACAAAAAAUCCCAGAAACAUCAAAUACAUACUCCCUUAAGAUAUACAGCAAGCACACAAAUGUCGGGGAACUCACCGCCGUCCUUCUCUUUCCCACGCCGGUUGCGUAUCCUCGACAUCCUUCUCCGAGCAACUUUCUGAGAUUCUCAUUUGCCAUAAUUCACCGUUGUCUCGCUUCUUCUUUGAGCAACUUUCUGAGAAUUGGAUGACUAGUGAUUUUAGGGAUUGUAAAGUCAAUCGUCGGGAAAAAAAAUAGCAUAACCUGAUUUGAAAAGAAAAAAAGAACUAAGAAGACGAGAAGAUAUACAAAAGGUACUUUACUAGUUAUGUAUAUAAAAUUAGGUUUAAUCUUUUAUGGGAUCCAUCACUAAUUUUGAAUUUCGAAAAUCUAAUCAAACCAAAAUCUUCUAACUAAAAAAUAACUUACUAGUUACACUUUUAAGAGGGCAUUUUGAGUCUUUUCACCAAAAAACUGCUCUAGUAGCACAAACUGCUCUAGAGUGAUAAUAAAACUUGUAAACUGCCUUAGAGUGUAAAUCGCUCAUAUUACAAAGCAAGAAACGAGAUGAUGAUGAAAACAGCUGGUGGCGCAACUACAAUAUUCCGUUUGAUGGUAUCUUUCUUGCUGGUUGCAAUAACAGCAUCUGGUUUUGUUUCUGGUGAGAAGGAAAUAGUGCUUGAUACUAUCGGGAGGCCAGUUGAGUUUUAUGCUCCGUAUCACGCCUACUUCGAACGACCGGGAGCAAAUGCCCUGAUUUGUCGUUACGGGAGCAUCGAAACUUCUGGCUUUUCAUGCCCGCAAAGAGUGGUAUUGCUCUCUUAUGGAAGGGAACUACGAAUGAUAAAUUCACAAGUUACAUUUAUACCAACGUCAUCAGAUUCAGAUGUGGUACGUGUGUCAACAGAGCUUAAAAUCCGUUUCCAAUUUCCCAAUCACUGCGAGGAGUCGGGUUAUUGGAGAGUUGCAGACAGCUCAUUGCCAAUCAGAGAAAUAGUAUUGACGGGAUCCAAGUCAAGCAAUGACACCACAUUCACCAUAAAAAAGUCUGGCGUAUCAUACCAGUUUGCUUUCGGAAGUGCUGACAAACCAACGGCUAUCGGUUUAGAUUCUCUAGAUUCUGGUAUACAGAGGUUGAUAUUGUCGAACGACUAUGCCUUUGACAUUCAGUUCGUACCGUUGUAGUGUUCCCCUUUUACAGACUACUCUUGUAUCUUCUUCUUUGUUUUUUUUUUUCUGUUUCUGUUUUCUUCAUGUAAUGUUUCAUUUCAAAUCAAAUAAAUCUGUGGUAUUUUUCUUUUUCUUCUCCAGAAGAGUGCAGUUAUGAAAAUAUUUGUAAAUCUUUGUAUUUUCAUAUAUGAGAAAAUCAAAUAUAUUAUUAACAAAAAUAACCAAAAAGAAUCUAGGGGAAAUUUUACUUUUACACUUUGUUUGAUACCACUAUUCAAUUUUACCACUAAUUUAGGGACAUUUUCAUAAAUACCACUUUCAUUAAUGAACAAAAGACAAUAGUACCCUUACCUUAUCUUCUCCUCAAUCAUCGACUUUUCCUCUCUCUUUUUGAGAUCCAUCUUCUCUUGGACUUACCGUCGAGAUCCGCCGUCUCCGUCGAGAUCCGCCGUCUCCGUCGAGAUCCGCCAUCUCUCUCUCUCACACAACCGGCGACGAAAACGGAUUACAGAGAAUCGCGAUUCAAAGCCUUCAAAUGUUGAUUCCUGUUCAAGAUUCACAACUCGUAUGUCUCUAAUUUUUGUAUUCUUUUGUUUGUAUCGAGUAAAUAUUUGAUUUUGUUCUUUCUCUUAUCAAAAAAUCAAAAAAGUUUGCUUUAGACUUCUCAUUUGAACAUGUCGAUAUAAGAGAAACAAUUUCCA
rnacentral:lncRNA from 1 species